rnacentral:rRNA from 1 species
GUCGAACGGAGUAGAAAUACUUAGUGGCGGACGGGUGAGUAACGCGUGAGAAUCUGCCUUCAGGACGGAGACAACAGUUGGAAACGACUGCUAAGCCCCGAUGAACCGAAAGGUGCAAAUGCACCACUAUCAGAUGGACCUGCGUUGUAUUAGCUAGUUGGUGGGGUAACGGCUCACCAAGGCGACGAUACAUAGCCUACCUGAGAGGGUGAUCGGCCACACUGGGACUGAGACACGGCCCAGACUCCUACGGGAGGCAGCAGUAGGGAAUCUUCGGCAAUGGACGGAAGUCUGACCGAGCAACGCCGCGUGAGUGAAGAAGGUUUUCGGAUCGUAAAGCUCUGUUGUAAGAGAAGAACGAGUGUGAGAGUGGAAAGUUCACACUGUGACGG